UUACUUGAAAUCCCAUCAGCAACAUCUCAAAUUUAAUAUGGCUUACUUCUUGGGUUCGCCAACUAACAUGUUAUCCACAAAAAAUCAAAUGUGUCACUUCUUCCUUAUUAUCACCUCUACCAACAUCUAGGCUUUUAAACAAAAUUUGAUUUCUUGCUCUCAUUGCCAUUCUAUUCAAUGCUUCUAUAACUAAGAUAAAAAGUAGAGGGGAUAGGGGGGUCCCCCUACCUAAGGUCUCUGAAAGAAUAAGAACCACCAUUCACCAUCUCCUCAAAAGAAGAAGUUGAGAUACAAGACUUCAUCCAACUUGUUCAUUUGUUCCCAAAACCCAUUCUCAAUAGUAAAUAAUUCGUAAAACUCCUAUUAACAUGAUCAUAUGGUUUUUUAUGUCUAAUUUGCACAAAAUGUCUUCCCCGUACUUGUUAGGUCAUCAACAUUCUCAUUUGCAAUCAAAACAGCAUCAAGAAUUUACCUCCUACCAACCAAAGCAUGUUGAGCCUCACCGUUCACUUUAUUUAGUAUUCUAGCCAUCCUCCUUACAAGGACUUUGACUAUCAACACAGCCCACUAGAC
rnacentral:lncRNA from 1 species